UGCUGCUGCUACUCCGCAGAGAGAAGUACGACAGGAACACACCCGGACACAAGCCUUAGAGACUCCUGGGUCCCCGUUAACGUCUGUCUGUGUGUCCCAGGCCCAGUGAGGAGAUGGUGAAGAUGGUCCUGAGAUGUCCCUGUCACCCUGAGGACCAGUUCACCAGACACUGGUCGUCCAAUCACGACAACACGCUGGGAGAACACAUCAAGGCCCAACUGAUGAAGAACAACAACCAGCCCCGCAAGAGACAGAAGUGAGGACUGAUAGGAAAGAGUCUUCGCAGUUCCAGCAGUAAACUGGCUCAGCUCACCCUGGAACAGAUCCUGGAGCUCAUGGACAACCUGAAGCUGAGCCUGAGCAACACCAAGAACAGAUUCUUCACUCAGACCCCAAUCCUUCGGCUCUGCGGCACGUUCAGGCCAGCUGUGACGAGGUCCACAAGAUGAG